rnacentral:rRNA from 1 species
CAGCCGCCGCGGGAAUACGGAGGAUCCGAGCGUUAUCCGGAAUUAUUGGGUUUAAAGGGUGCGUAGGCGGAUAGAUAAGUCAGUGGUGAAAGACGGUGGCUCAACCAUCGCAGUGCCGUUGAUACUGUUUAUCUUGAAUAUGGAUGAGGUAGGCGGAAUGUGGCAAGUAGCGGUGAAAUGCAUAGAUAUGCCACAGAACACCGAUUGCGAAGGCAGCUUACCAAGGCAAAAUUGACGCUGAGGCACGAAAGCGUGGGGAUCGAACAGGAUUAGAUACCCGAGUAUCCCUGUCUCUUAUACA